UCAGAUUGGACUAAACUACUGCGCCCAGCCUUCGAGCACUCGGGAUCAAGAAAACGAAUCAUUGUUUAUAUGUUGUAACUAUGCAGUUGAGCUUCGGGGCAGUGUAUCAGUUAGUUAGUUUAGCCAUCCAUUACGGUUCAAGUGCAAAACAGCUCUUUGUUGUAUCUUUGAAAAACAGACAGCCAUGUGACAAGAGACCUAGUGGAGGACUGAACAUUGAAACGUGCAACAAAUCAUGGAGCACUAGAGAAAGGGAACGGCUGUUUAACCCCUUAAAUGUAAAGGCCCCAUAUUUGGGGAUCCUAUUAGACGUUAUUCAAUUCAGUCUGGUAUGAGAACGGUAGACCCUAUAGGCCGAGCCGAUGACCUCGUUUCAAGACGGCUGCUAUAUACAUUCCGGUUAGCGUUAUGAAGCGUAAACAAAAUAAACACGGAAUACAUUGAUACACACCGAAAUCCGGGACUCCACAGAGAAUGAGAAUGUAUUGUCCGUCUGCAUGUGACCUACCGUUAUUGAUCACCAGCCCUGAGAGUCAACAUUUGUAUUUUACGCAACGUUUUCACCAAACAUCUUACGAGAGUGGAUGAUGCAGAGGAUUUGGAUGACAACCUUUGGGAGCCACCCCUCCCCAGCGGUCAAGGUCUUCACCCCUCACUGCUAUGUCAAUCACCCGUCUGAUGGUUCUACAUCCACUUUUCAUAGACAUCUUGAAAAAGAAAAGAGAGGCUUGUGGCACCAUUCGUCCUAACAGAAUCGGUUUCCCCAAGACCAAGGUAAAAGACAUGACAAAGACAGCGUAGAGGGGGGACCAUACUUUGGAUCAGGACUAACAAGCUGCUUUUUGUGAAAUGGAAAGACACUAGUGAAGUAACCAUGCUCACCACACAGCAUAAGUCAUUCAAUAACAGCCAUGUCUCAAGGAUGGGGAAAAAGGAAGAAAGUCCCCAUUCCUGUUUCUGAGAAGGACUUACAAUGCCAGCAUGGGAGGGUGUCGACAUCUGAUGCUCUGAUAGGCUACUAUCAGGUCCUCCUCAAGACCAGGAAGUGGUAUAAGACUUUGUUUUUACCACUUUGUGGACAUUGCUACAGUAAAUGUUUUCAUUCUCCACAAGCAGAUGGCCAAAGAAAAAGGUCAAACCCCUCUCUCCCAGUUGGCCUUCCGAGAGCAGCUGGUGUUGGAAAUGGCUGAAUUAGGGGCCCAAAGCAACCUCACAACCAUCACAAGACCCCCUCCUGAAGGCGAGCACCACUAUCCAACACACAUGCCAAAAGGAAGAAAAGCAAGCAUUGCACAAACACAGGGUGGUGGUGGUGGGGGAAGGGUGAAAUGACAGUUCUUCUGUCCGAAAAGCCAGUUCGCUUUUUGUUUCCUGGCAGAGCGAGACCGCUUCAAAGACUGACACGACAUGCACAAGCUAUGGUGAAAGUGAAAUCUAAUCUAGACCUGGGAUGUAAAACUAACAAGAAUGCCAUUUUGAAAUAGUCACGUGUGUAACCAAGUUGUAUAUCUGUUGCUUUUAUAUUGUUUUUGUAAACAGCUCAUUUGUAUGUGGGACCAAUACAUUGGAUAUACCGAGCAUAAAUGUUCAGGCACUUUGGAGAGGUUGAAAAAAAAAAAACAAUAGGAUAUCCUCCUCGUAUGUCUCCCGACACCACCACAAUGUUUGAGAGAGGUUGGGUGUUGUAGAAAUGUAGUUUAUAGUGAACAAUAACUUUUAGGCACAUCCAGUGUGCAAAAACAGUGCAAUUGCCACAUUCGGACACUUUGGAGAGGUUGAAAGGACACUUGAAUGUACCCUGGAUACCCCAUAACACCACCACAAUGUUUGAGUGAAGUUGUCAUGGUAGAAAUCGUGUUUUUAUACGCAAUAAGGGAUUGAAAAUAUGUAAUACCACUGGAAUUAUCUAAUUUACAGACAUUUGCCACGUUGGAGAUGUUUAGGGACACUUGGAAACAUCCCGUGACCACACCUGACACCAUUUCUAGUUGUUAGGUCUAUCAAUCCCAUUUUUUUCUGAUUUUUCUGAUUUCACAUGUUAUGGAAGCCAUCUGAUGUGUUUCCAUCUCUGGGCAUCAAUAAUUCACUUUUCGCUUCUCAAUGAAAGAUUACAUUCAAAAUCAUAAAAAGGUUAUUUUGUGUGAACUUGA